UAACAAAGAGAGUGAUGACUAUGCAAAAUUAUACUGGGAUAAAGGAAUAAUAAACUGUCCUUAGGAAACCAAGUAGUCACAUGAUAUUUGAUGCAUUUACAUAUAUGAGGGCUUUUAUAAGGAGCUUGUGCUUGCCUAACAAUAGAGUAUCACACAGAAGCCAUAAUUCCAUCUUACUUACCAGUUACUUGUUCACAAGUGGUCAUAGUUCUCUUUCCAUAUAAACCUAAGUUGUGUGUUAAAGUGAUUGUCAAAAAUUAAAUUUAACCUUUUUUUUUUUUUAGAUGGAGUCUCGCUCUGUCUCCCAAGCUGGAGUGCACCGGCAUGAUCUUGGC
rnacentral:lncRNA from 1 species